CCAGUUCGGAUUGUAGUCUGCAACCCGACUACAUGAAGCUGGAAUCGCUAGUAAUCGCGGAUCAGAAUGCCGCGGUGAAUACGUUCCCGGGUCUUGUACACACCGCCCGUCACACCAUGGGAGUCGGAAAUGCCCGAAGUCUGUGACCCAACCAUUAAGGAGGGAGCAGCCGAAGGCAGGUCGGAUGACUGGGGUGAAGUCGUAACAAGGUACC
rnacentral:rRNA from 1 species